rfam:Arabidopsis thaliana chromosome 3, complete sequence.
AGAUGCGAUCAUACCAGCACUAAAGCAUCGGAUCCCAUCAGAACUACGCAGUUAAGGGUGCUUGGGCGAGAGUAGUACUAGGAUGGGUGACCUCCAGGAAAGUCCUCGUGUUGCAUCCC